rnacentral:rRNA from 1 species
CCUACGGGAGGCAGCAGUGGGGGAUAUUGGACAAUGGGGGAAACCCUGAUCCAGCGACGCCGCGUGAGUGAAGAAGUACUUCGGUACGUAAAGCCCUAUCAGCAGGGAAGAAAGAAAUGACGGUUCCUGAGUAAGAAGUCCCGGCUAACUACGUGCCAGCAGCCGCGGUAAUACGUAGGGGGCAAGCGUUAUCCGGAGUUACUGGGUGUAAAGGGAGCGUAGACGGUAAUGCAAGUCUGGAGUGAAAGGCGGGGGUCCAACCCCCGGACUGCACUGGAAACUGUGUAACUGGAGUGCAGGAGAGGCGGGCGGAAUUCCAAGUGUAGCGGUGAAAUGCGUAGAUAUUAGGAAGAACACCAGUGGCGAAGGCGGCCUGCUGGACUGUAACUGACGUUGAGGCUCGAAAGCGUGGGGAGCAAACAGGAUUAGAUACCCUAGUAGUC